rnacentral:rRNA from 1 species
UACGUAGGGUGCAAGCGUUGUCCGGAAUUAUUGGGCGUAAAGAGCUCGUAGGCGGUUUGUCGCGUCUGGUGUGAAAAUCCAGGGCUUAACCCUGGACCUGCAUCGGGUACGGGCAGACUAGAGUGCGGUAGGGGAGAUCGGAAUUCCUGGUGUAGCGGUGAAAUGCGCAGAUAUCAGGAGGAACACCGGUGGCGAAGGCGGAUCUCUGGGCAGUAACUGACGCUGAGGAGCGAAAGCGUGGGGAGCGAACAGG